GAGUUUGAUUCUGGCUCAGAACGAACGCUGGCGGCAGGCCUAACACAUGCAAGUCGAACGCCCUCUUCGGAGGGAGUGGCGCACGGGUGAGUAACGCGUGGGAACCUAGCCCUUGGUACGGAACAACCGCGGGAAACUGCGGCUAAUACCGUAUAUGCCCUGAGGGGGAAAGAUUUAUCGCCGAGGGAUGGGCCCGCGUCUGAUUAGCUGGUUGGUGAGGUAACGGCUCACCAAGGCAUCGAUCAGUAGCUGGUCUGAGAGGAUGAUCAGCCACACUGGGACUGAGACACGGCCCAGACUCCUACGGGAGGCAGCAGUGGGGAAUAUUGGACAAUGGGCGCAAGCCUGAUCCAGCCAUGCCGCGUGAGUGAAGAAGGCCCUAGGGUUGUAAAGCUCUUUCAACGGUGACGAUGAUGACGGUAGCCGUAGAAGAAGCCCCGGCUAACUCCGUGCCAGCAGCCGCGGUAAUACGGAGGGGGCAAGCGUUGUUCGGAAUUACUGGGCGUAAAGGGCGCGUAGGCGGUCUGUUGCGUCAGGUGUGAAAGCCCUGGGCUCAACCCGGGAGGUGCACUUGAUACGGGCGGACUUGAAUCCGAGAGAGGAUGGUGGAAUUCCCAGUGUAGAGGUGAAAUUCGUAGAUAU
rnacentral:rRNA from 1 species